rnacentral:rRNA from 1 species
UACGUGAGUUCCAAGCGUUACCCGGAAUCAUUGGGUGUAAAGGAUGCGUAGGUGGAUUUUUAAGUCAGGUAUGAAAGACCGGAGCUCAACUCCGUGUUUGUGCUUGAAACUGGAAAUCUGGAAUCAGGGAGAGGUUAGCGGAAUUCUAAGUGUAGGGGUGCAAUCCGUAGAUACUUAGAAGAACACCAAAAGCGAAGGCAGCUAACUGGAACUGUAUUGACACUGAGGCAUGAAAGCGUGGGGAGCAAAAAGG